rnacentral:lncRNA from 12 species
CACUGCUUUGGAUCGCGCGCGGCUUUCGUUUGGGAGCUUUUCUUCCCAGGCGGCCGCACGCCUCUGAGUGCCUGGUUGUGGGAGGAGUUGGGGUCCCCCCCCCCAGAGGGAGCCAAGCAGAUCCCACGUGGGGGCCAGACAGCGUGGCGGGGGAGUCCCCGGGCGCACGAACACGGCCACCGGCGGGGCGCACACACCCGCGGCCGUGCACCCGAGUCCGAGCGCGCAGGCUCCUGCACGCGAGUUCGCUGUCUCCCGGGCGUCCUAGAGCCGCGAGCCCGGAGCUCUGAAGCAGCGGCCUCAGAGGCUGGAAGCCCGCGGCCCCCUGAGCUCCGGAUGCUGGGUGAACGAGGUCCUGGGCCAGGGCAGCUCUGUUUACCUCUUCCCUCCUUGACUGGCCCGAGAACUGAAAUCUGUCCCAGUCGGGGUUCUAGGUCUCCCAGGCCCGGCCCACCGACCUUCCCUCCAACACCACCCGGGCCCUCUGAGUCCUGGGGCCUCAAGGCUCAACUCCUGGAGCCCAGCGCAAGAGCCACGCAGAAAUGCGCCCAGGGGCCACAGUCAGGACCUCGAGCCAUUCACUCAUCCUCAAAUCUUCUUGGCGGUGGAAGCUGUCUUGCAGAGCCGGGCUGGAGUGGCCUCUCAGAAGCUGUGUGCAUGCUCUCCUGGCGGGUUUCCUCCCUGGAGAAUCGAGUCAGGUUGAAUGAUCACCAAAGCUCUGUGGGAGAAAUUGAAUAAUGCCUACUAGUCUGGGGACAACUGUGUCACCUCCUCCCUGGCCCCAGACAAGAAUGGAUGUUGAAAAGGAGAACCUGGGCCUAGGCCUGGCAUACAGGGCAUGACCAAUGAGGCGGAAGUGUGCAGGGCUGCUGGGGUGUCACCUCAUGGAAGCUUCUGGGAGAUCUUCAGAGAGCCUGGUCCCUCCCUGUGCCCUGCAGGGGUCAGCUGGAAGGCUCAGGAUUCUCGCUGUUCCAGAGUCACAGCCAGGAGCCACAGGGAGAACAGUGCUGGGGCCUCUUGGGAGUUGGGCCAGGGGCUCCCCAUCACUCAGCUCUUCAGACCAAUGCUGCUAUGAGGACACAAGGGUAACAGUGGCUCGGUCAGGAUGCCCACAUUUUUGGUUUCACCCACCAGCUUCUCCUACUCAUUCGCCUCUUUCUGUUUGCCUUCAUCGAGGUGGAAUUUCUAUAAAAUUAACCAUAAAAUUAACCAUUUUAUUAUUUUUUUUAAGAUUUUGUUUAUUUAUUUGCGAGAGAGUGUGUGCAUGAGCUGGGGGAGGAGGAGAGGGCAAGAGACCAGCAGACUGACCCCUGAGCAGGGAGCCUGAUGCGGGCCUUGAUCCCAGAACCCCAAGAUCAUGACCUGAGCUGAAGUCAGACACUAAACAACCAACAGAGCCAGCCAGGCGCCUCAAAAAUAACCAUUUUUAAAGUGAACAACUCAGUGGCAUUCACAGUGUGGCACAACCCCCACCCCCAUCUAGCUCCAGAAAUUUUUGUCACUCUGACGUAAAAUGCUUGACUCCAUCAAGGAGUCACUGGCCUCUCUGCCCCAUCCUACCCCAAGCAACCACAGGUCUGCCUUUUGUCUCUAUAGAUUGACCUAUUUUGGAUAUUUCGUAUAAAUGGAAUCACACACUUUGUGACCUUUUUUAUCUGGUUUCUUCCACUUAGCACGUUUCGGGGUUCAUCCAUGCUAUGGCACACGUCAGUAUUUCAUCCCGUCUUCAGGCUGAGUGAUACCCCUCUGUGUGUAUGGACCACAUUUUGUGUAUCUAUUCCUCUGUUCACAGUUUCACUUAGUUCUGAGUAACACCUCAGGUCCUUGCUGCAAGGUCUCAUGGUGCAAAGAGGUGUGGGCUAGGAGUUUCGUAAGCUCGGUCUCUGAGCAGGCUGGGUGUUCUAAGGCAAGUGGAUUGACCUUUCUGGGCCCCAGUCUACUCAUCUAUAAAGUGAAAAGUUUGGCAAGGACCAUUUCACGUUACAAUCCUCUGUGACUUUUUGCAACUGUGAAGUGCUCCCUGGCACUCAUAGAAAGGAUCCCAAUGCCUUUUCUGCCAGCCACAAUCCUGUGUCAAGGACCCCAUUACAACAGGCCCUGAGGUUUGCACUGUGCCCCCCCGUGGAUUGGGCCCCCUUUCCAUCUGUACCUUUGGAUCUUAAAGAGGCCAAAUCUUUUUUUUUUUUUAGAACACUAUUCUUUUUUUUUUUAAGAUUUUAUUUAUAUAUUCAUAAGAGACACAGAGAGAGAGGCAGAGAUCACAGGAUCACACCCUGAGCCAAAGGCAGAUGCUCAACCACUGAGCCACCCAAGCGUCCCAAGAGGCCAAAUCUUCGUGAGAAGCAUAGCUGCGGUGGGUUGUGUCUUGUGAGUUAUUCCCUUCUUGACUGAGUAUCCAGCCAGACUCUCAGCAAUUGUGAUUUAGAGAUGAAAUGGCCAACUUGGAGCACACGGAGGUUUUCAUCAUACCUGCUUAGGAAGUGGACACCAAGCUAAGUGAAAAGGAUUCAACAUCAGGGAAGUAUACGAUUUGAUAUCCCAACUGACUUUUAUUCCAUGUACAUUCACGGUCCUGUUACCCCAUCUCCUGCUUUGGGCAGGUUGGAAACAUACAGAGAAACAGAUUUAAGAAAUAUGCCCUUUCUUAGCAUCUAAGAGCUUUGAGACCUACCCCGAUUGUUGGGGAGUAGUCAGCUGCUCCUCUCCCAGUGAAUUGAGCUUGGAGGUGGAGGCACUUUAAUGUGGGGAAGGUAUCAUUAUCUCAAGGAUGUUUUACAUUUAUUUUCGGAAUAUGGAAGCUCACUGGGGCCCCUGGGUGGCUCAGUGGUUGAGUGUCUGCCUUCGGCUCAGGUCAUGAUCCUGGGGUCUGGGGAUCGAGUCCCGCAUCGGGCUCCCCACAGGGAGCCUGCUUCUCCCUCUGCCUGUGUCUCUGCCUCUCUCUGUCUCUCAUGAAUAAAUAAAUGGAAUAUGGAAGCUCA